rnacentral:rRNA from 1 species
AGAGUUUGAUCAUGGCUCAGGACGAACGCUGGCGGCGUGCUUAACACAUGCAAGUCGAGCGGUAAGGCCCUUUGGGGUACACGAGCGGCGAACGGGUGAGUAACACGUGGGUGACCUGCCCCCUACUCUGGGAUAAGCCUGGGAAACUGGGUCUAAUACCGGAUAUGACUACAUGUCGCAUGGUGUGUGGUGGAAAGCCAGUUACAUUUGUUUCUGGCGGUGGGGGAUGGGCCCGCGGCCUAUCAGCUUGUUGGUGGGGUGAUGGCCUACCAAGGCGACGACGGGUAGCCGGCCUGAGAGGGCGACCGGCCACACUGGGACUGAGACACGGCCCAGACUCCUACGGGAGGCAGCAGUGGGGAAUAUUGCGCAAUGGGCGGAAGCCUGACGCAGCGACGCCGCGUGGGGGAUGACGGCCUUCGGGUUGUAAACCUCUUUCGGCCCCGACGAAGCGUGAGUGACGGUAGGGGUAGAAGAAGCACCGGCCAACUACGUGCCAGCAGCCGCGGUAACACGUAGGGUGCGAGCGUUGUCCGGAAUUAUUGGGCGUAAAGAGCUCGUAGGCGGUGUGUCGCGUCGGCCGUGAAAACCUGCAGCUUAACUGUGGGCUUGCGGUCGAUACGGGCAUCACUGGAGUUCGGCAGGGGAGACUGGAAUUCCUGGUGUAGCGGUGAAAUGCGCAGAUAUCAGGAGGAACACCGGUGGCGAAGGCGGGUCUCUGGGCCGAUACUGACGCUGAGGAGCGAAAGCGUGGGGAGCGAACAGGAUUAGAUACCCUAGUAGUCC